rnacentral:rRNA from 1 species
GAAUAGGACCCUGUCCUCCUAUUUUCAGUUGGUUUUGGCACGCGAGGACCAGGGUAAUGAUUAAUAGGGAUAGUUGGGGGCAUUAAUAUUUAAUUGUCAGAGGUGAAAUUCUUGGAUUUAUGAAAGAUUAACUUCUGCGAAAGCAUCUGCCAAGGAUGUUUUCAUUAAUCAAGAACGAAAGUUAGGGGAUCGAAGACGAUCAGAUACCGUCGUAGUCUUAACCAUAAACGAUGCCGACCAGCGAUUAGGAGACGUUGAAUACAAAACACCACCAUCGGUGCGGUCGUCCUUGGCGCGUCGUGGCUUGCUGCGGCGUGCGAGGGCGAUUUAGCCUGAUGGCAUCGGUGAAUGACUCCCUAGCAGC